GGAUGGUUUGGCACCUCGAUGUCGGCUCGUCGCAUCCUGGGGCUGGAGUCGGUCCCAAGGGUUGGGCUGUUCGCCCAUUAAAGCGGUACGCGAGCUGGGUUUAGAACGUCGUGAGACAGUUCGGUCCCUAUCCGCUGUGCGCGUAGGAAUAUUGAGAAGGGCUGUCCCUAGUACGAGAGGACCGGGACGGACGAACCUCUGGUGUGCCAGUUGUUCUGCCAAGGGCAUGGCUGGUUGGCUACGUUCGGAAAGGAUAACCGCUGAAAGCAUCUAAGCGGGAAGCCUGCUUCGAGAUGAGUGUUCCCACCACCUUGAGUGGUUAAGGCUCCCAGUAGACGACUGGGUUGAUAGGCCAGAUGUGGAAGCCCGGUAACGGGUGGAGCUGACUGGUACUAAUAGGCCGAGGGCUUGUCCUCAGUUG
rnacentral:rRNA from 1 species